GAUGAACGCUGGCGGCGUGCCUAAUACAUGCAAGUCGAGCGAACGGACGAGAAGCUUGCUUCUCUGAUGUUAGCGGCGGACGGGUGAGCAACACGUGGAUAACCUACCUAUAAGACUGGGAUAACUUCGGGAAACCGGAGCUAAUACCGGAUAAUAUUUUGAACCGCAUGGUUUAAAAGUGAAAGACGGUCUUGCUGUCACUUAUAGAUGGAUCCGCGCUGCAUUAGCUAGUUGGUAAGGUAACGGCUUACCAAGGCAACGAUGCAUAGCCGACCUGAGAGGGUGAUCGGCCACACUGGAACUGAGACACGGUCCAGACUCCUACGGGAGGCAGCAGUAGGGAAUCUUCCGCAAUGGGCGAAAGCCUGACGGAGCAACGCCGCGUGAGUGAUGAAGGUCUUCGGAUCGUAAAACUCUGUUAUUAGGGAAGAACAUAUGUGUAAGUAACUGUGCACAUCUUGACGGUACCUAAUCAGAAAGCCACGGCUAACUACGUG
rnacentral:rRNA from 1 species